AGAGUUUGAUCCUGGCUCAGAACGUACGCUGGCGGCACGCCUAACACAUGCAAGUCGAACGAAGUAGCAAUACUUAGUGGCAGACGGGUGAGUAACAUGUGGGUAUCUGCCCUAUGGCCUGGAAUAACACGAGGAAACUUGUGCUAAUACCGGAUAAGUCUUUACGGAGAAAGCUUUAUGCACCAUUGGAUGAGCCCGCACUUGAUUAGUUUGUUGGUGGGGUAAUGGCCUACCAAGACUGUGAUCAAUAGCUGAUUUGAGAGGAUGAUCAGCCACAUUGGGACUGAGACACGGCCCAAACUCCUACGGGAGGCAGCAGUGGGGAAUCUUGCACAAUGGAGGAAACUCUGAUGCAGCGAUGCCGCGUGAGUGAAGAAGGCCCUUGGGUUGUAAAGCUCUUUCGUCGGGGAAGAAAAUGACUGUACCCGAAUAAGAAGGUCCGGCUAACUUCGUGCCAGCAGCCGCGGUAAUACGAAGGGACCUAGCGUAGUUCGGAAUUACUGGGCUUAAAGAGUUCGUAGGUGGUUGAAAAAGUUGGUGGUGAAAUCCCAGAGCUUAACUCUGGAACUGCCAUCAAAACUUUUCAGCUAGAGUAUGAUAGAGGAAAGCAGAAUUUCUAGUGUAGAGGUGAAAUUCGUAGAUAUUAGAAAGAAUACCAAUUGCGAAGGCAGCUUUCUGGAUCAUUACUGACACUGAGGAACGAAAGCAUGGGUAGCGAAGAGGAUUAGAUACCCUCGUAGUCCAUGCCGUAAACGAUGUGUGUUAGACGUUGGAAAUUUAUUUUCAGUGUCGCAGCGAAAGCGAUAAACACACCGCCUGGGGAGUACGACCGCAAGGUUAAAACUCAAAUGAAUUGACGGGGACCCGCACAAGUAGUGGAGCAUGUGGUUUAAUUCGAAGAUACGCGCAGAACCUUACCAACACUUGACAUGUUCGUCGCGACUCUAAGAGAUUAGAGUUUUCGGUUCGGCCGGACGAAACACAGGUGCUGCAUGGCUGUCGUCAGCUCGUGUCGUGAGAUGUUGGGUUAAGUCCCGCAACGAGCGCAACCCUCACUUUUAGUUGCCAUCAUUUAGUUGGGCACUCUGAAAGAACUGCCAGUGAUAAGCUGGAGGAAGGUGGGGAUGACGUCAAGUCCUCAUGGCCCUUACGUGUUGGGCUACACACGUGCUACAAUGGUAUCUACAACAGGAAGCAAGACGGCGACGUUAAGCAAAUCCUUAAAAGAUACCUCAGUUCGGAUUGCACUCUGCAACUCGAGUGCAUGAAGCUGGAAUUACUAGUAAUCGUGGAUCAGCGUGCCACGGUGAAUGCGUUCCCGGGUCUUGUACACACCGCCCGUCACACCAUGGGAGUUGGUUCUACCUUAAGGCAAGGUUUAAAACCCUUGACCACGGUAUAGUCAGCGACUGGGGUGAAGUCGUAACAAGGUAACC
rnacentral:rRNA from 1 species